GUUGAACGCUGGCGGCAGGCCUAACACAUGCAAGUCGAGCGGGGUUUACGGGACCUAGCGGCGGACGGGUGAGUAAUGCGUAGGAAGCUGCCCGAUAGAGGGGGAUACCAGUUGGAAACGACUGUUAAUACCGCAUAAUGUCUACGGACCAAAGUGUGGGACCUUCGGGCCACAUGCUAUCGGAUGCGCCUACGUGGGAU
rnacentral:rRNA from 1 species